GCCAGUUUCCCUUUCAGUUUCUCGCUCUGUCCGCUGCAAGUGCAAGUUUUUAAUGGUUGCGUGAAGAAGAAGUUUGGUAUAUUUGUAGUGUUUUCUUGAUAUCACUCUGUUUUUCUCGAAAUGGGUAAGAAAGAACAGCAACAACUUAGAGAUCACAAGGGCAACGAGAGAGUUGAAGCUGUUCUCGAGCUUCUAAGAAAACAAUCUCCACUCACAGUGAAACAGGAGAAGUUCUGCAACAAUGCUUGUAUAGAACGGUUUCUGAAAGCAAAAGGUGAUAAUGUGAAGAAGGCUGCUAAGCACUUAAGGGCUUGCCUGUCUUGGAGAGAGAGUAUAGGCACUGAGCAACUAAUAGCAGACGAGUUCUCAGCUGAGCUCGCUGAAGGAGUUGCCUAUGUGGCUGGGCAUGAUGAAGAUUCCAGACCUGUUGUGAUUUUUCGCAUGAAGCAAGAUUACCACAAAUUCCAUUCGCAGAAACUGUUCACUCGGCUGCUGGUUUUUACACUUGAGGUGGCCAUAGGAUCAAUGGCAAAAAACGUUGAACAAUUUGUACUCCUCUUCGACGCAAGUAAGCCCCUUUGGCCAUUGGACACAUCACCCUUCGACAAUAUGAAAUUUUUUGAAAAUUGAUGUAGUUUUAAGUAAUUUUACAAGCUAUGCAUGUAUUACACGCUUGUAAAGCAGCCUAAUUUAUGAGACCAGGCACGCAGCCAUGUCGGAGAACCGGCAGGGGUCUGAGAUAUUCUGAGACAAUGUCUGGAGUACCCCUUUAAGUGUCACGUUCAUGGCUCUCUUAUUGGUCCAUUUUUGUAGGGGUAUUCUCGGGAAUUGAACCUCAUCGGUUUUUAUUCUCUCCUAGAAUCGGUCAAUUUCUCUGAUGCAGCACUUAAAUAUUUUGAUCCUCACCAGAAAUACCCAGGAUUCCCCUUUUCUUUUUCUGCUUUUGCCACAAAAAUCAAUACUAAAGAAAGAUAAAUCAUCUGCCAUGCUGAGGCUUUAAUUUUUUAUUUAAAUCUCAUAAUGGGUUUGUUUAGUAAUUAAAUGGGUAUUUAUUUUUCUUAUUUAAAUUUAAUUGCAGGCUUUUUCAGAUCAGCAUCGGCUUUUAUGAACUUAUUACUGGCAACACUGAAAAUUGUGGGCGAAUACUAUCCAUGCAGGCUUUGCAAGGCUUUCAUAAUAGACCCACCUUCUCUAUUUUCUUAUCUAUGGAAGGGUGUUCGUCCCUUUGUUGAGCUGUCAACGGUGAUUAUAGUGGUAUCGUCGUUGGAUUUUGAAGAAUCAUUGGAGUUCAGUGACUUCUCUUCCUACCCGCGAGCCUCAUCCCUCCGAUUCGAUCCUUCGCCAAUAAUAUCAACGUCCAAGAUCGGCUCAUGCUCUUCCUCAAGAUUUUCCUUCACUGUGUCCCACCAUUUUGACUCGCUCAAACCUUGGUACCUAACCUUGACCGACACAUCAGCAUCAAAAGUAGAACCUACUUGCCCCUAUCCUCUAGGCCCGGCUUUAAUUUCCCCGCUCAACGCCAGGUCUCUCUCCUUCGCAUCACCAGCAGCUAGAACGCCACUCAGCAGCAUCAGUGGUGGAAGCUACGGCAGGCCCGCUAAGAAAAAUUUGUUCCCAUCAACUCCGCUGCCACAGCGAGUGACCACGAGUGAGCCCAUCAAAAUUUCUCACCCACGAACCCCACGGCCAUCGUUCCUCCAAUCACCGGCCAUGUUUUUCAAGAAAGAAUGCUAUGUCAACAGGACUGACAAGUCUCGACAGUCGUUUUUGCCCUAUUUGAAGUUCUAUAGGCGGCCGUACGAUGAGAUGAUAUACAGGUCAAAGAUGCGGCCUCCGCUUGGUGGUCUCAUCUCCAUCGUCUCUCCCCACCUUAAACGUCGCCACAUGUCAGUAUCACAACGGUUCUAAAUGAAGAGAAGCUCAUGCAAGCGGAAAACAAGAGCUACAAGAAAACGGAGAGAGAGAGAGAGAGA
rnacentral:misc_RNA from 1 species